GCAGGUGUAGUCUAGCCUGGUAGGACUUUGGCCUUCCAAGCCAACAACCCGGGUUCAAAUCCCGGCACCUGCA
rnacentral:tRNA from 1 species